rnacentral:rRNA from 1 species
AUCAACGCUGGCGGCGUGCCUAACACAUGCAAGUCGAACGAGAAAGUGGUAGCAAUACCAUGAGUAAAGUGGCGCACGGGUGAGUAACACGUGACUAACCUACCUUGGAGUUCGGAAUAACCUCGGGAAACCGGGGCUAAUACCGGAUAACACCUACGGGUCAAAGGAGCAAUUCGCUCUGAGAGGGGGUCGCGGCUGAUUAGCUAGUUGGCAGGGUAAUGGCCUACCAAGGCGACGAUCAGUAUCCGGCCUGAGAGGGCGCACGGACACACUGGAACUGAAACACGGUCCAGACUCCUACGGGAGGCAGCAGUGGGGAAUUUUGCACAAUGGGGGCAACCCUGACCAAGCAACGCCGCGUGGGUGAGGAAGUACCUUGGUACGUAAAGCCCUUUCGGCAGGGACGAAGCAAGUGACGGUACCUGCAGAAGAAGCCCCGGCUAACUCCGUGCCAGCAGCCGCGGUAAUACGGGGGGGGCGAGCGUUGUUCGGAAUCACUGGGCGUAAAGGGCGCGUAGGCGGCCCGCACAGGUCUGCGGUGAAAACCCCCGGCUUAACCGGGGGCCGGCCGUGGAAACUGUCGGGCUGGAGGCUGGGAGAGGGCGGCGGAAUUCCCGGUGUAGCGGUGAAAUGCGUAGAGAUCGGGAGGAACACCGGCGGCGAAGGCGGCCGCCUGGACCAGCCCUGACGCUGAGGCGCGAAAGCUAGGGGAGCAAACAGGAUUAGAUACCCUGGUAGUCCUAGCCCUAAACGAUGGAUACUGGCUGUGGGGGGUAGCCGACCCCCCCGUGGCGAAGCUAACGCAUUAAGUAUCCCGCCUGGGGAGUACGGUCGCAAGUCUGAAACUCAAAGGAAUUGACGGGGGCCCGCACAAGCGGUGGAGCAUGUGGUUCAAUUCGACGCAACGCGAAGAACCUUACCUGGGCUCGAAGUGGGGCGGACGGGGGCUAAAAGGCCCCGUUCCCUUCCGGGACCGCCUCAGAGGUGCUGCAUGGCUGUCGUCAGCUCGUGUCGUGAGAUGUUGGGUUAAGUCCCGCAACGAGUGCAACCCUUGUCCUUAGUUGCUAACGGGAGAGCCGAGCACCCUAAGGAAACUGUCGGCGAUAAGCCGGAGGAAGGCGGGGAUGACGUCAAGUCCUCAUGGCCUUUAUGUCCAGGGCUACACACGUGCUACAAUGGGCGCCACAAAGGGCCGCAAACCUGCAAAGGGGAGCCAAUCCCAGAAAAGCGCCCUCAGUUCGGAUUGGAGUCUGCAACCCGACUCCAUGAAGCUGGAAUCGCUAGUAAUCGCGGAUCAGCAUGCCGCGGUGAAUACGUUCCCGGGCCUUGUACACACCGCCCGUCACAUCAUGAAAGCCGGCUGUACUAGAAGUCCCCGCGCCGACCCUUCCGGGGGGCAGGGGCCCAAGGUAUGGCGGGUGAUUGGGGUG